rnacentral:rRNA from 1 species
UGGCGGCGUGGAUAAGACAUGCAAGUCGAACGGGGUUAUAAUUGUAGUAAUACAAUUAUAGCUUAGUGGCGAACGGGUGCGUAACACGUGAGUAAUCUGCCGGGAAGUGUGGGAUAGCUCGCCGAAAGGCGAAUUAAUACCGCAUGUGGCUAGGGGUGACAUCACUCCGAAGCCAAAGUCGCAAGACGCUUCCUGAUGAGCUCGCGGCCUAUCAGCUAGUUGGUGAGGUAACGGCUCACCAAGGCAAUGACGGGUAGCUGGUCUGAGAGGACGACCAGCCACACUGGAACUGAGACACGGUCCAGACACCUACGGGUGGCAGCAGUCGAGAAUUUUUCACAAUGGGGGAAACCCUGAUGGAGCGACGCCGCGUGGAGGACGAAGGUCUUCGGAUUGUAAACUCCUGUCAUGCGGGAACAAGAAAGUGAUAGUACUGCAAGAGGAAGAGACGGCUAACUCUGUGCCAGCAGCCGCGGUAAUACAGAGGUCUCAAGCGUUGUUCGGAUUCAUUGGGCGUAAAGGGUGCGUAGGUGGCGUGGAAAGUUGAGUGUGAAAUCCUAGGGCUUAACCUUAGAACUGCACUCAAUACUCCCAUGCUAGAGGAAUGUAGAGGAGAGUGGAAUUCACGGUGUAGCAGUGAAAUGCGUAGAUAUCGUGAGGAAGACCAGUUGCGAAGGCGACUCUCUGGGCAUCUCCUGACACUGAGGCACGAAGGCUAGGGGAGCAAACGGGAUUAGAUACCCCGGUAGUCCUAGCAGUAAACGGUGCACGUUUGGUGUGGGCAGGCUCAGACCCUGUCCGUGCCGGANCUAACGCGUUAAACGUGCCGCCUGGGAAGUACGGUCGCAAGAUUAAAACUCAAAGAAAUUGACGGGGGCCCGCACAAGCGGNGGAGUAUGUGGCUUANUUCGAUGCAACGCGAAGA